rnacentral:rRNA from 1 species
AAUAUUGCACAAUGGGCGCAAGCCUGAUGCAGCCAUGCCGCGUGUGUGAAGAAGGCCUUCGGGUUGUAAAGCACUUUCAGCAGUGAGGAAGGCGGAGUCGUUAAUAGCGGCCUCGUUUGACGUUAGCUGCAGAAGAAGCACCGGCUAACUCCGUGCCAGCAGCCGCGGUAAUACGGAGGGUGCGAGCGUUAAUCGGAAUUACUGGGCGUAAAGCGCAUGCAGGUGGUUUGUUAAGUCAGAUGUGAAAGCCCGGGGCUCAACCUCGGAAUAGCAUUUGAAACUGGCAGACUAGAGUACUGUAGAGGGGGUAGAAUUUCAGGUGUAGCGGUGAAAUGCGUAGAGAUCUGAAGGAAUACCGGUGGCGAAGGCGGCCCCCUGGACAGAUACUGACACUCAGAUGCGAAAGCGUGGGGAGCAAACAGGAUUAGAUACCCUGGUAG